GUAUAAGAAAAUGAGUUGAAUUAUGGAGGGUAUACUAACAAGGGAAAAAUGGAGGUUGCAUUGUCCUUUAGAAUUAGGUGUCAUACAAUGAAACAAUCACAAAGAAAACAUUUGAAAGGGUGCCAACAGGAAACAAGGGACAAAUGCAAAAAAUUGCUCACAUCCUGGAGUUUGGAAGGGAAGAACCUGUCCAUUAGUGGUUCCAAAAGCCUUCCCAAAUAGGUUUUAUUAUGGGUGGUGAAUUUGAGAAACAAGAGGGUUUGGAACAUCAUUUCAAUUUUGCUUGAAGACCUUUGAUGAUUUAAUCAGUUUCAAAAAUUCUAUGGAAGAAGAAGGUUAUGAUGUUGGUGAGGCAAGCAUGUGGCAUAGGAGAAUUGGAUCAAAGAUGGGAUUUGAAGAUUGGACAGCCCUCAUGACUGCAGCCAUGUUUGGAAGAAAGGCUUGAAGUUGAAACCAGUCAUGUCAAUGUUAACAAGGCUUGGUUUAAUUGGGCCAUGACACUUACUUAUGUUACUGCUUGGGAAUUUGCUAUUUAAGCUGAGGCUAUGAAACUCUUGCCUGAUGCUUCUGCACUUCAUUCUAUCAUGUUGUAAAGUAUUGACUACGUACACCAUUUUCAUUUUAUCCAGGCUGUUUCUUUGCUUUAAAUUAAUUGAAUUUAAGUAAUAUUGUGUAAUAGAACAUGUAUAUAUUUGGACUGGAUGUUGUAUUCUAUAGUCAUGCAUUUGGGGUCUGAAUUGUACCAUGAGUGUGGAAAAUGGGAACCUCUAUUUAAUUUCCUUCUCUAUUUCAUUUC